rnacentral:rRNA from 1 species
GGCCUAACACAUGCAAGUCGAGCGGAUGACGGGAGCUUGCUCCUUGAUUCAGCGGCGGACGGGUGAGUAAUGCCUAGGAAUCUGCCUGGUAGUGGGGGACAACGUUUCGAAAGGAACGCUAAUACCGCAUACGUCCUACGGGAGAAAGCAGGGGACCUUCGGGCCUUGCGCUAUCAGAUGAGCCUAGGUCGGAUUAGCUAGUUGGUGGGGUAAUGGCUCACCAAGGCGACGAUCCGUAACUGGUCUGAGAGGAUGAUCAGUCACACUGGAACUGAGACACGGUCCAGACUCCUACGGGAGGCAGCAGUGGGGAAUAUUGGACAAUGGGCGAAAGCCUGAUCCAGCCAUGCCGCGUGUGUGAAGAAGGUCUUCGGAUUGUAAAGCAC